GCCGACGACUUGGGACCGCGGUAUUAAAAUUGGUUAUGAUCAGAGGAUCAUGUUGGUAUAAAGUUAUUGGUUCAUAGAGAAAGUAAUCUUGGACAUAGAGGUCCGACAAACAAACCUUGGGUUGUGCAAGGUUUUCUCAUGUGAGGCAGAAUUUCAGGAAGCCGAGUGUUUGAUAGGUUUUCUGAGAAAGUAAUGUUGAGAAGAAUAAAUGUUGACAUUACUGAGUUAAUGUUGAUAAAUGUCAGUGGAUCUGCUGUGGUCCUGUAAAGAAACAUUGCUGGUUGUGAGAAGUAUUGAGUGAAUAUUUCUGAGUCUACUCUGAGUCAGUGCAGGCGUCAAGGUUGAGUGAUUUGACACUGAAUGUUGCGUGUAUCACUGCCUGGCAGAUACCCAGGUUUUGAAAUAGUGUCGGAUCCCAUGAUUUUCAGGUGAUGAAUUGCCUGACAAUAGGAGUCAGAAAAGGACUUUUUGAUGCUAUAUUUUGUGUGAUUUGAGAAAGCUUGUGUUCGAAUAGACACACACACACAUUCAUUGCAGCUGUUGGGUGUGAACAACUUCCUCUUUUAAUUUUAAACUGCGACACAUGUGUUCAUUGAACUAGAACUUCAGCAGUGAAUGAGACAGGAUUUAGAAUUUCAGAAAAUAGAGUCAGAAACGGUUUUGUGGCUCUUGGUAAACUGAUUUUGAAGGAAAAAAUCAGUGUUUAUUGUGCUGGAGUAACAGAUCCGGCGUGGUCUGAAGUGUAGAAUCAGCUGGGUGUACAGCGUUGUUGAUAUUAACAGAUCUGGCGUGGUCUGAAGUUUGGUGGAUCCGCUGAGGUCCAGAAGAAUAGUCAGUGCGGACUGCGUUGGUUUGAAUGUUGAUAAAUGAUCCAUUUGAUAAAUUGCCCUGGGUCUGUCUCUGUGUGUGUGAGCUGUUGAGUAACAGCCUACGCAGUUAGAAUUGGGUGCUGGUUACUUCCUCUUUUCAGUUUCGAAAAAGAAGAGUUUUGGUUUCACUUUAAAGUUUGAUUAUGUAUUACUGGGUGAAACACGGUUUCACUUGUGAUUAGGGAAAUAAUAUGCUUACUUUUGGGUCUAUGAAAAUUGAAUAACAGUGGGUGAUCUCUGUGACAACAUACAGUGUUGAGAUACUGGAUGUUGAAUUGAAGAUAGUGGAUCUUGACGUUUUGUUUUUAUUGAUUUUAAAACCAGCAGAGAGUUUAUAUUUGCUCAGUCUUUUGACUGCCUGAGCUGACUUCCUCUUUCUCAGUGAACAGCUGUGUGCAGCUGAAUUAAAGGACUGAGAGAACAGAGGGAGUGAUUUUCAAGCUUGGUGCGUGUUUACACCAAAAGUGGCUGGUUUGGUGCAUUCAUGAGAGUGAAAACAGAAACUGAAGCAGCUGAAUGAAGACACACUGGGCCAGUAAGUGAACAGGAAGACCAGUGCAGAGAUGAAAACAUUGAAAGAGAACCACAGUGAGUGUUGCAAAUGGAUGAUCAUGUGCCAAGGAAUAUCCAGUUGGAUGAAAGAGGAUGUAAAGAGCAUCCUAAAGUCUUUGCAAGAUUUGCAACAGGAAAAUAAGAAACUAGAGGGACAGAUACAGACUCUGUCCAUAAACAAAGAGGAACUGGAGCUCCUGAAUGAUGUACCAUAUGACACAGUGGAGAAUCAACUAGCCGAUGCAGUCAGGAGAACCACAUGACUGCACCAAGAAAGCUGAAGCUGAAGAAAAGUCGGAGAGACCUGGAGACUUGAAGGGGCAACAGUCAGCUCAGAGAGCAGAAGAAAUUGCACUGAGCAGGGCCCUGAGACUGGCUAAAGAAAAGAGAGCGAAGAUAUACACAGAUUCAGCUUAUGCAUUUGGGGCAGCACACGUGGAGCCCACUCAAUGGAAGAGAGCAGGCUUCAGAGCGGCAACAAAUGCUCACAUUUCAAAGAAGAAAGAAAUGGGAGGACUGGAAAAGGUCCUGGACGACCCAAACGAGGUCAGUAUCAUAAAAUGCAAAGGAUACUCUCAAGCAACCACAUUGGUGGCACAAGGGAACCAGAAAGCAGAUGAGGCUGCCAAGUAAGCAGCAGGCUAAAAAGGAAAGCAGCAAAUGGUGAGAUGCCGGGGUAAAAAGAGUGAGUUCGGACGAGGAAGUCCGAGAAAAGGACACCUUGAGUUGAACAAGGUGUUUAACUGACUCAGGAUUUCAGAGAAUCGAGUCAGCUGUGAUCUUGAGUUCUAAUGGUAAACACUGAUUUUAAAGGAAAAUCAAUGUUUACCAUGUUGAAGUAAUUGUGAAAAUAUUACUAGAUGUGCUGUGAUACAAGUGAAGAAUAAGUUGUGUACAUGGGGAUACACAAUUGUGUUGAUAUUGAUGGAUCGGCUGCAGUCCAUGUGAUAAGUUAAUACUGGGUGCAUUGAGACAAGAAACUGUUUUUAAAUCAGCACUGGUGACAGUGAUAUACAUGUGCUGAAGAUUACUGGACCCAGCGAGGUCCAUUUGAUGAAGUCCUUGGGCAGAUAAAUGACAGAAACAGUUUUUGAAUCUUGUGUGAGAAUUUUGAAGCACUGAGAUUGAGUUUUCUCCAUGCUUGGUGCGCUGUGAGGACUUAUAUGACGGUUAUAAGUCCAAAGUUUAUGCCUUGGAGGCCAAGAGUUGUGUGAAGAGAAGAACAUGACUUAGAAAAGGACAUUUAUGGUCAGAUUUUGUCUAAGAUGGGGAGAAUUGUCCGAUAUGGGUUUAUUUUUCUUUUCUUGUAAAAGGACAGACGCAGUUACUGGGUGUUGUCUACUACCUCUAUUGUUUUUUGUUUUUAUUUUAAUAGAGGGAGUUUUAUUAAACAUGGACAUGUCUAGAAUUGGGCACUUUAAAAUGAUAACAGUGCACUUAAAAAUCCUGUCAGGUGAUUUUGUUUUGUGUUUUGAUGAGCUAAUAAUCAGCUCUCUUUUUCUCAUUUUUGUUCUAAACAGGCCUGGAAGAGUGAAUAACAGCGCUGUAAAAAA